rnacentral:rRNA from 1 species
GACGAACGCUGGCGGCGUGCUUAACACAUGCAAGUCGAACGGACAGACAGAGAGCUUGCUCUCUUGAAGUUAGUGGCGAACGGGUGAGUAACGCGUAAUCAACCUGCCCUUCAGAGGGGGAUAACAACGGGAAACCGUUGCUAAUACCGCGUACGAUUCAUGAACGGCAUCGUUUAUGAAUGAAAGGUGGCCUCUAUGUAUAAGCUAUCGCUGAAGGAGGGGAUUGCGUCUGAUUAGCUAGUUGGAGGGGUAACGGCCCACCAAGGCAAUGAUCAGUGGCGGGUCUGAGAGGAUGAACGGCCACAUUGGGACGGCGAAACGGCCCAAACUCCUACGGGAGGCAGCAGUGGGGAAUCUUCCGCAAUGGACGAAAGUCUGACGGAGCAACGCCGCGUGAGUGAUGAAGGUCUUCGGAUUGUAAAGCUCUGUUAAUCGGGACGAAAGAGUUCUGCGUGAAUAAUGCAGAAAAGUGACGGUACCGGAAUAGAAAGCCACGGCUAACUACGUGCCAGCCGCCGCGGUAA